AACGAACGCUGGCGGCAUGCCUAACACAUGCAAGUCGAACGAGACCUUCGGGUCUAGUGGCGCACGGGUGCGUAACGCGUGGGAACCUGCCCUUAGGUUCGGAAUAACUCCCCGAAAGGGGUGCUAAUACCGGAUAAUGUCUUCGGACCAAAGAUUUAUCGCCUUUGGAUGGGCCCGCGUUGGAUUAGCUAGUUGGUAGGGUAAAAGCCUACCAAGGCGACGAUCCAUAGCUGGUCUGAGAGGAUGAUCAGCCACACUGGGACUGAGACACGGCCCAGACUCCUACGGGAGGCAGCAGUGGGGAAUAUUGGACAAUGGGCGAAAGCCUGAUACAGCAAUGCCGCGUGAGUGAUGAAGGCCUUAGGGUUGUAAAGCUCUUUUAUCCGGGAUGAUAAUGACAGUACCGGGAGAAUAAGCACCGGCUAACUCCGUG
rnacentral:rRNA from 1 species